UACGGGGGGGGCAAGCGUUGUUCGGAAUUACUGGGCGUAAAGGGCUCGUAGGCGGCCAACUAAGUCGGAUGUGAAAUCCCCCAGGCUCAACCUGGGAACUGCAUCCGAUACUGGAUGGCUUGAAUUCGGGAGAGGGAUGCAGAAUUCCAGGUGUAGCGGUGAAAUGCGUAGAUAUCGUAAGGAAGACCAGUGGCGAAGGCGGGUCUCUGGACAGUUCCUGACGCUGAGGCACGAAGGUCAGGGGAGCAAACGGG
rnacentral:rRNA from 1 species